GGGUCACACGCGAAGGGCAAGCCCACGAGCCCAGCAGCUAAUGUGCACACUCAUACCCGGACGCUCUGCGGUCGGCGACGUUUACGAGCCGGAAGAUGUUCCACCCGCUGCGAAACUGGUUUCACGGAGAAAUUCGGUUCUCUAGCAGCCGUGUUCCACCUUCACUGCUUGAGUGUCCAUAGAAACACUUCAAGAAAGAUUUGUUGUAAAGGCACCUAAGAAGAGUUACCUCUUACUGGAGGAACAAACCUGAUGUCUCAUCCAGUUAGUUGGAGCUGAGGUGGAAAAAGGGGGUAAAAACAGUUAUCACCAGGUCAUAUCCACUGAAUGUCCUUUUUCCUAUGUAAAUACACCAUCAGAAUAUUAGGAAAUCCCGCACUAAUAACACUUUCAUGGAACAAAGUGUCUAUUUUAAACACCGGUACAGCUACAAUAAAAACAAAUCUGUUUGGAAACAACAAAAAAGCUUUUGUUACACAAUACAUACUCUAUGUGCAUGAAUCAAUUAAUCACCUUUAAGCAAAACAGGAAAUUGAAAUAUUCCCUAAAAUAAUUAAAUCUUUCAGGAAUGAAACACUCACAACGUGGCUCUCCGGGUGGUCUUGGGUUGCUGGCA